CCGAAGCUCAUGGUCCUGAAGGA
rnacentral:snRNA from 1 species